GAUGAACGCUGGCGGCGUGCCUAAUACAUGCAAGUCGAGCGAGCGGCGGACGGGUGAGUAAUGUCUGGGCAACUGCCUGCUGGCGGGGGAUAACUACUGGAAACGGUAGCUAAUACCGCAUACCCUCAGAUGUGCCCAGAUUGGAUUAGCUAGUAGGUGGGGUAAUGGAUCACCUAGGCGACGAUCACGAGCUGGUCUGAGAGGAUGACAAGCCACACGGGAACUGAGACACGGUCCAGACUCCUACGGGAGGCAGCAUUGGGGAAUAUUGCACAAUGGGCGCAAGCCUGAUGCAGCCAUGCCGCGUGUGUGAAGAAGGCCUUCGGGUUGUAAAGCACUUUCAGCGAGGAGGCGUUACUCGCAGAAGAAGCACCGGCUAACUCCGUGCCAGCAGCCGCGGUAAUUC
rnacentral:rRNA from 1 species